GCGACCUCAGGUCAGGCGGGGCUACCCGCUGAGUUAA
rnacentral:rRNA from 1 species